rnacentral:rRNA from 1 species
AACGAACGCUGGCGGCAGGCCUAACACAUGCAAGUCGAACGGGUCCUUCGGGACUAGUGGCGGACGGGUGAGUAACGCGUGGGAACGUGCCCUUUGCUUCGGAAUAGCCCCGGGAAACUGGGAGUAAUACCGGAUGUGCCCUUUGGGGGAAAGAUUUAUCGGCAAAGGAUCGGCCCGCGUUGGAUUAGGUAGGUGGUGGGGUAAUGGCCUACCAAGCCGACGAUCCAUAGCUGGUUUGAGAGGAUGAUCAGCCACACUGGGACUGAGACACGGCCCAGACUCCUACGGGAGGCAGCAGUGGGGAAUCUUAGACAAUGGGGGAAACCCUGAUCUAGCCAUGCCGCGUGAUCGAUGAAGGCCUUAGGGUUGUAAAGAUCUUUCAGCUGGGAAGAUAAUGACUGUACCAGCAGAAGAAGCCCCGGCUAACUCCGUGCCAGCCGCCGCCGUAAAAC